rnacentral:rRNA from 1 species
AUAAUAUGGUCAAGCGACUAAGGGUCCAUGGUGGAUGCCUUGGAGCUAUCCGGCGAUGAAGGGCGUGGUAAGCUGCGAAAAGCCUCGGUUAGAAGCAAAC